UUCUCCUAAUUUUUCUUUCCCCGAUCUCCUCUCCCAAGCCUCUCGCGCAACCUCUUCUUCCCCGACGCCAACGUCGCAAGGGAGAUGAUCGUGCCGGCGCCGGUUGACCCUCCAUUAGCAGGUAGAUGGAGCUCGAUCGCCGGAAGGAAAGGGCCAACGCUUGCCCUCACGCGUGGUGCCCUAGAUCCUGUUUCUGCCACCUGAUUUCCUUGUCGUCGUCGCCCUUCUUGCGCCGCCGAUCACCACGAGUUCACUGCUGGCGACGGUCUUCUCCAGUGUGUCUCGGCCGAGCCUCCCUCUUCCUUCUCUCAAGGUGUGGAGCCUCUCCUUCUUCUUGCCGAUCUUGUCACCGUGCCCUAGAUUGCUGACACCGAGUCUUUCUCGCCGAGCCUCCCGACCACACCACUCCACACGAUGUAGCCGGAUCACGCGCGCGAGCUCUCUUCGUCCCGAGACUCACCAGCGACUCAACUCCUUCCCUUCCAACCAACCGCCGCCGUCCCUUUCCUGUACCUGAUCGCCGACCUCUCUGCUUCUAAUCACCAACCUAGCUUCAAGAUUGAUGUUGGGUUUGAUCCUUGGUCUGUUGUGAAGUGUCCGGCCAAGCUGCAUUGAUCCGGCAAUGUGACCGAAAGAUGGUUUGCUGUGGCGGUUCUUGUGGGGUGGAGGGUUGCUGCUAGGGUCCGGUGAGGCCAUCAACUCCGGCAGUAAUCUUCUCCAGCAGUAAAACACCAGUUGGGGCAUCUGGAUUGAGCUAAGGUUUUGUUGAGUGCUUCUUUGAUAGUUGACGGCAUAGAACUUCUUGGGUUGUAAGAUUCAGAAUUUUGCUGUCAUACCUCAAGGACUUUGAUAUGGGAUGAUCAUCACGACGUGGGAUUUAUUCUGGACACGGUCGACAAAUUAAGGCGGGUAUUUCUUCCUUUACCUCUAU